AGUUAUAAGGCUCAUCCCUCUCUCUCUCAUUCUCUCAACUAUCUCUCUCUCUCUCUCUCUCUCUCUCUCUCUCUCUCUCUCUAAAAGAAACACAAUUACGCCGAGAAAAAGCCAUAUCCAUCUGCAGAGAAAGAAAGACCUUCCUUUUAGAUAAAAGAGGAACUUUAGCUACCUCUCCUAAACACCUACACUCAUCUACCAAAACAACAACAGCUGAAUUGCCUUCUUUUCUGUGGAUAUUGGGGAGAAGAGUCUUCUCAUCAUCUGAAGAGCUGAAGCAGUAGAAAAAGAGUAUAUAUUAUGAAACCAAAGGGUAGCUGGGUAGGUAUGGACCUCAUGAAAAAUCACACGUUUUCCUUUUUGUGUGGAUAAGAUGAUGGGGUUCCUUCUAAUUUUGGCAAAGUGACAAACGACUUUUACCGACUUGUACUUUGUGCUUCACCCAUUGGGAACUUUGUGUGUAUCCGAAAAUGUAGUUGUGUGGCUCCGCUUGUACAUCUGUUUGUUUGCCCAUAAUUUUAGAUGAACUCUCUUAAAUCAACUCCACCCUUUUGAGUA